GUCCACGCCCUAAACGAUGCGAACUGGAUGUUGGGCACAACUUGGUGCCCAGUAUCGAAGCUAACGCGUUAAGUUCGCCGCCUGGGGAGUACGGUCGCAAGACUGAAACUCAAAGGAAUUGACGGGGGCCCGCACAAGCGGUGGAGUAUGUGGUUUAAUUCGAUGCAACGCGAAGAACCUUACCUGGUCUUGACAUCCACGGAACUUUCCAGAGAUGGAUUGGUGCCUUCGGGAACCGUGAGACAGGUGCUGCAUGGCUGUCGU
rnacentral:rRNA from 1 species